UCUGAUGCCUUGCAAAAUUGAAUGGCCUCUGUUUGUCUUGCCCCUCCCUGCCAUGGUGGUUAUCUUACUUGGGCUCCCAUUUCCUGCUCUUAUUCUUGGCUCCUGGCCAGGCAUCACACAUUCAUGUGAAAUCAUGCCUCUUCUCCAGAAGGGAAAGGCUGUUUCCAUUCAUGGAAAGCCCAUUUGCCACAAAGAUGCCACACCCUCACCCUAGUGUGUGUGUGGGGGUGUCUCUUUUUCUGACAUGCCCAGGACAAGGUUGAAAGGGCUCUGGUCUGUAUGGUUAUUUGUGCUAUAGGCCAGUGUGGCAGCAAACAGUGUGGUCUUUGUGGCUAGGGAAAGGGAGGGGGAAUCCCAAAACUAUGUGACCUGGAGCUGGGUCCACAUUUUGCUUCUCAGCCUCAAGUUGUUUCUUUUGUGAACUGAGAAUCCCCGUGUCACAGCAUUGCAGGGAGGAUCGGGAAUGGAAAGGGCUUAGCACAUGGCCCAGAAAAUGGCAUCUGCUCCAUAAAUAUUUAAUUUUCUGCCCUCUUUCGGGUUGCUAGGACCUCCAGGCAGAUCUGGGUUUUAACAGGAAGGAAAUGGUACCUCCAAACAUUGAAGAGAAGGAGGCCGUCUGGGAGCUGCUCUUAGACUGCAGAGAGAAGGAACCAGAGCCAAGAGGACGACUAGAUCUCGAUUCUGUAGGACCACUGAGACUGUAUACAGAACAUCCUAGGUUGUCUUCUUGCAGAGAAGGUCUGGGGUAUGUAUUCAGCAACUCUCAGAUCUUUUUGGCCCAAGGUUCUUCCUGAGGUCUUUAACUCCCUGGCCAUUCCAGGCGACCUGAUGUUAUCAAGCCACCUUGAGGCAGCCAGAGCAUAACACCAGGUAGCCAAAGGAGGCCACAUUAGUGUCCUCUAAAUCGAGCAAGGAGGCAGUUGCUGUGCAACUGUGAUAAUGAGCUUUGUCAAUGUGACACAAGCUACGAUCUCCUGGCAAUCGUAUCUCAGGGACCGAUCUGCCAGUGGGCAUGUCUGUGAAGGAUGGUCUUAACUGAAUCAAUUGUGACGGAAGACCCACCCUCAGUGGGAAAGGCACCAUUUCCUGAACUGUGUAAGAGUGAAGAAAGUUAAUUGUGGAUAAGCAAGCCCUGGUUUCUCUCUGCCCUUGACUGGAGGUGAUGUGACCAGCCUCCUCGCGCUCCUGCACCGUGAUUUCCUCACAAUUGUGGACUAUAGCUAAAAUCAACCCCUUCUCUCCUAAGUGACUUCUUGUCAGUGUUCUAAAAAAUUAAUUAAUUAAAAAUUUUAUUACAACAAACAGAAAGAAAACUAGGGCAGACACCGAUGGCAUCUACCUUGCUUUCCUCCCUUGUGUGAUGGGGACUGUGCCCGACUCUCAGAACACUUGUGAAGACUGAAUGAUGCAUAAGGCAUCACGUGUGUUCCAAGUGCCUGGCCCAUCACAAGUAUGAAAUAAAGAAGAGGUAUUCGUGAUACA
rnacentral:lncRNA from 1 species